GGUUUGCAAGUCUCCCCCCCCCCCCCCCCCUCUCUGCCUCUCUCUCUCUCUUUCUCUCUGCUCAUGCAGACACCCGAACAGUUAAGCGAGAAAACACACACGCAUUAUUCUCACCUUGGCACCAUCACUAUGACAAAUUAGCCCAUGCAACAAACGCUUUAUUGCAUAUAUAGUGUAUUGUUUGAGGCAAUAAAUCCCGUAAGUCAAACGCUUUGCAAGUUGGGACACCUGCUCCUUCUGUUAAUGUGCAGAAUUUUAAAUUAUUAGUAUUAUUAUUACUAUUUGCGGUACUACUUGUCGUAGUAAUAAUAUCACUACACCGCAAGUUUGCUCAAAGCGAUGAUAAAUCAUUGAUUCUCCUUCCCUUUUCUUCACUCUGAGCUUUCCUUUUCGAUCCGUCCCCUACCAUUAAAAUAAAACACCCUUCACUUCAGCUUUGCUCGCAACGCUUCAGAAAUGUAAGAAAAUUGUGCCAUCUACCCGCUGCCCCUGGAACUGAAGCUUAUAUCCCAAGACCUCGGAGACCUCAACUCACUUCUAACGCAGAUGGAUGAAAAAAAAGGCUGGUAGCGCCUCCUUGCACGCACGUCCAAAGCAGCUGCCGGCUGCUAUUAGGCUGUAACUUUACAAGUAAUGUGUGUUUUAAGCACCUGUCAUCCACUCUACAUCCCACUGCGUCUGUCUGUCUCUCUCUGUGUGUGGAUAUGAAUGGAGGAGGGAGCAGGAAAUAGGCUGCCGCGUUCACAUGAGGAGCAGGGCUUUAGGAAAAUUCAAAUAGUCUGUUUGGGUGAAUUUGUAAUAAUAAUAAUAAUAAUAAUAAUAAUAAUAAAAACUGUAGCCAGGAAUAAAUCUGCAUUGUCGCAUAUUUAACGUAAACCAAAGUUAUAAUUUCCCCCUUCCCUCCUCCCAAAGAAAAAAAUUGGUUGCAUGAUAUGAUUUAUUUAUUUAUUUUUCUCCCUAAGCUUUGGAUUGGUUUGGAAGUUGUAUAUUUAUUUUUUUAUUAAAAAAACACGCACACAAACAAAUAAUCAUCCCCCCCUCCCCCCAAUAUUUCCGGAUAAAGGGUGAUGGAGGAACUUAUCUUUUCAGUUGCUGUGGAAUAGCGUCAUUUUGUUCAAGGUUUUAUGUGAGGUUUAAAAAAUAACAGGAAACGACAUUCAUUUGAAAAUUAAAAGUAAAAUAAAAAAUAAAAAAAUUGAAAAGUCGCGUUUUAAAAUUUAUAUGAUGAGUUAAAGAAAGUUUAAAUUGACGAAGAGCAGAAUUAGAAACCCUUGUGCAGCGUUCUUAAUCAAACCAAACACGCUCACAUGACGCAGGGGCGCAACCAAAAAGCUUUACUAGGGGGCGACAAGAUGUGGGGGCCACCAAUAACCAGAAACGAUAGUAACAGAGUUUCAGAUGUUUUAUUAUUAAUUUUGCUCUUACAGAAGUUUAAAAUGUGGGAGUUUAUUCUUCAUACCCACCAUGUUACCAAAAGCCGUCUGAUUUGACGCCUCAGCCCACACAUAAAUUAAGGUCAAUGAUUUUAAAAUACAAUUUCUUUCGUAACAAGUACAUGUACAGUGAAUAUUUUUUAGCAAUUCUGCACUGCAUAAUCUCUUAAUAUGAUUUUACUGUAGAUUUAUUGUGUAUUUUAAUUCUGAGAUAGUAAUUUAAAUUACAAUAUUAAUAAUUAACAGGUAAAAAUAUUUUGUCAGUACCUAAUAUUUGUAGAUGUGGGUGAUGUUCUUAGACAUAUAUUCAAUGAAAAACUUUUUACUACAGCCAUUUGUAAUAUUUUUUUACAUUUACAAUGCAAUUUUUGGUAUAAAAGCAUCAGACUGUACAACAGAACCUACAGUAAUCAUUUAAAACAGUCAAGUUUUUAUUUUAUUCUGACAGCAGGUCUGUAAAAUGUUUCAUAAUUUCUUGUUGUACAGAAAUUGUGCUGUAUUUUAGUUUAAGUUAACAGUUACCUAAUACUGUAAUACUAACAAUACAAUAGCUAGAGAAUAAUUGCUGACAUUGUGUUACUUUUUCUUGAUUAUUUAAUAAAUUAUGAUUUUCUUGUAUAACAAAACAACAACAAAAAUCUCACUUCUUUAGAUCUAUAGAAAACUUAGUGUCCAUUGUUCAAACACACAUUUUCGACCUAAGUCUUGCUUCGUUUAAAAGUGUAGUACUGGUUGAGGUUGCAACAGAGUUGAAAUUGAACACCAGGUAUGAAUAAAUAAAGGAUAAAUCGGUAAAUGAAUAAAUAUAUCCCAUCAAAGUUAGUAUUUUCCUCUCGUAAAUUUAUAAAAAGUAGAUAUUCAUUUAAAAAAUAGCAUAAAUACAAAAUUGUCUGCACAGGUUGUGGUUGAAUGUCUAGGGUGAUCAUUGCGCCCUCUGCUUUUGGAUUUACAUGUAUUUAAGGGUUGUUUUUUAGCUUAGAAAAAAGUUAAUAAAAUAAAUGUAUGCAUGCUAAAGGUCCCGCACAUAUUUACCCUAAACAAAGACGUCGAAAGUCAAACUUGUUUAGUCCAUUUGAUCAACUUCAACCAGCUUCAUACCACAUGUAGGCAUAAAGAGAUGUCGCUACUUAGAUGUUCUUUCUGCAUCCUCCUUUCGACCACCUCUCCUCGCUGUUUAGGCAUUAAAAUCGUGCAUUUUCAGUGACUGUUGCUCAAUGGGUGGCUGUUAUAAUCUAGGAUAAUAAUAAAAAUAUAUUUAUAACUGAAAGGCUAAACUUUCAGAGAGAAGCAGACAGAGUGGGUGGGAAUCAAACUGCUCUAUUUUAAAACAGACACGAGAGCAUUUUUUUUUUUCUUUAAUCACUCCAUGUGAUUUGUCUUCAUAUCUACGAUCACACACGGAGGAGAAGAUGGAGAUGAGUGGUUAGAGAGACCGCAGACACUGUCCUGGAUAUUAAACGCCCCACGCCCCAUCCGCCUCCCCUCCUCAAGGCUCCCAAAACCCUGACGCAUUACUUCAUGUGUAUUUAUUUUGUAUCGAUUCUAAUACUCUUUAUUAAGAUGAACCACAUAGGCGUAUUUAACCACACGAGUAUUUAAAGGUGCGCCACUCUAAGGCCGUUUGGCGCAGGGGGAAGGCUCACCUGUCUCCUUUUAGGGCUCCCUCCGGGUGUGAAUGUUAAGCUGCAUGUUUAUUGUGCACGCGCGUGUAAAAUAACUUGCUUCUUUUUAAUGUCUCCCAUAAAUGAUGAUUAUGGAUGGAGAUGGGGGUGAUGAUGUAUCAUGAUGUGGGAAAACGAUGGACAUCAGCAAGGUCUGAGUUAAAAUAAGGAAAUAUCUUUUUAAUCAAUUCUGCAUUAAUUAGAUGGGCAGGGCAAACCUCCCCUUACGCGUCUUUGUGGUGAUGAGGGAAGAUGCCCGGUUCCCUUAAAACGCAGCACAGCGCGCGCGUUUGUGUGCGUGUGUGCAAGCGCGUGCGUGCGCCUGUGUGGGUGCGUUUGUCUCAUUUUUGCCGAAAGUUCCAAAAGGCUCACUUGGCAGCGCUCUCUCAAACUGUGAAAUUAAUUUGGCAAAAUGCUGGUCGAUGCUGCUGGUGAUGGUGGUAGACUGAAGGUGCGUUAACAAUAAAACUCACACCCUGCGCGUUAUUUCUCCUCCAUUCUUUACCAUCUUCCUCAUCUUCGUCGCUAUUCUCGCUGCCAUCAUCUUCCUCAUCAUCAUUUCCACCACACAAUGAUCCGCAGCCUACAUAUGCUCCCAAGUUUCCACAGGUAAAAAAAGAAACAACAACAAAACCAAACAAACAAACAAACAAAAAACUUGACAAAUCAUGUUAAUUGUGUUUCAGUACGUCUUCACUAACUUUUUGUUUCGGGCAUUUUGUAAACACAUUAUAAUACGAAAACACCUUCUGUUUCUCUACAGACGAACAGAAAUAAGGCCUGCAUUUUGUUAAAUGCUCUCAUUUAACUGGCCUGUUAGUCUUAAAUAUACGGCCCAGCGGUUGAUUUCUUUUCCAUAACAAAUGUACAGUGAGCAUCAAAACACAGCUAGAUCAUAAAUAUGGAUUCCCACUAUUUCAAAAUUGAAAGUUUUUUCAGUCCACGUUAAAUCAACAGCUUCUGAUUUUUGUGCAUUUGGAUCAAUGACAUUAGAAGAGGCACAAACGUUUUACAGAACAUGUUUGAAGAGGGAAUUUGAUUUAAAACUUACUUGCAAAAUAAAGUAAAAACCAACAGCUUAUUUAAAAUAACUCCGAUUAUUACUUAGGACCUAUCAUUAUGUCACCAGAAGCAUGUCAGCCUGGCUGAUGUAUUUUGUGGAACAUAUUAAUUUUGAUCAAAUAAGGACUUUCAAAAAACAAAAAACAAAACAACAACAAAAAAAAGCUUAACAAAUCAACCGUGUUGCAGCAACUGUAUGUAAAUUGAGUUUGGUUGGCUUAAAAAGUGUAGCUUUAAUGCAGAAGUUUUGUAGAGUUUUGUUCAACUUAUUUUUUACAGAGUAUAGCCUAUAUUUCCUUUCAGGUUUGGUUCACUUACACCAGACACCAUAAAGACAAUAAGUGUUUGAACAACUCCUUUCCUGCCGCACAGUCUGGAGUCUUUCACCUCCAAUUCGCAGCUCUCUCGGACCUUUCUCAUGUGAAGAACACGCCGAACAGAUAUGCUUUGCAGAGCCCCCGCAUCCCCGCUUGAGAUUGCCACAGAUACCCCACAUCUGACAUUUUCUGGUGUUUGAUGAGUUUUUUUUUUUUUUUUGCCUCCGUGCAACAGUGUCUAUGUCCAGGAGAUGAGCAGAGAUCAGCGGGGAGCUAAAAAUCCACCCGGGAACAUGCAUCUACUAAUGCAUACAUGCUGUAAAUGUGCAACUAGAACCCCGAAUGCGACCUUCAAGAGAAAUUAAUUUUUAUUUCGCCCCCUCCUCAGUGACCCCGCAGCGUCCCGGGACCUCACUUUGGGAACCGGUGAAGCCUAUAUGUCGGACUGUGAUCAUGGGGUUGAAUUAGAUUACAGGGAAAUUACCCUCCUCCUUUCCACCCUCUACCCCCGCACCCCACUCCGCUCCCCGUCCUCCCCAUCCUCUCUGACUGACCCCUGCAGGUCCCGGGACCCGCGGCUCCGGGGACUCAAGCCAGCGCCCCCUCUCCCCCCAACACCCCGAACUAAUGAACAGCCAUAACACGUAAGAACUGGUGGCCGCCAAAAGACAGCGGCGUGCGGGCUGCUGUCAGAGCUGGCUGUGCGCACAGAAAUCGCUCAACCCUGUGAGAGGACAAAUCUUCACGGAGGGUCUCCGCAAAGAGAGAGAAAGAGAGACAGAGAUAGGAUUGGUGGGGCCGGGGGGUUGGGUGGGGUGUAGAGAUGUGGGGAGCGAAAAGGAAAUCGAUGUGGGGGAGCUACCGACUGUUGCAGCGAGAUGGCGCUGUUCUGCGUGUUUCACCGGAGCGGUGCUUUCACCGUUUCUUUCUUUUCAGUGGUCUCCAUCUGGAUUUCCGCUUCUUCUUCUUUUCCCCCCCCCUCAAACAAAAUAUUUUCAAUUGGAGUUUUUCUUUUAAUUAAUACAUUACUGGGAGAUAGUUUGAUUUUGGAAUUCUAGACACUUAAAUAUGUUUUUAAAGCAUACAAGAAAGAAAAUCAACAAAAAACCCAACAAACUGGAAUUUAAACAUCGGCCAUGAAGGGAAAGGUGCAAAUAUUUGUUUGGCUCUAAAAGAUAAAAGGAGCGCAAUUAUCUUCAGAUAUUUCGUUUUGUUUCGUUUUUUCUUUCUUUCUUUCCUUUUUUUCUUCCAUCUUUUUUUUCUUCCUGUCGUUCUUUCCUUUUUUCUUUCUUCUAUUCUGUCCUUUUUUCUUUCAUCUUUAUUUUUUUCUUUUCUUUCUUUCUUUGUUUCCUUUUACUUUCUUUUUCUUUCUUUCUGUCUUUCUUUCUUUCACAAUACUUGUUUAUCGAGCUUUAUUGCGACUUUAGGGUAGCCUUUAGAUAAAAAAAAGGUCAUUUUUACUUCUAAUUUAUCUUUUGAAUUUCGAUAAUCAAAUCCUAAAUGAUCAUUACUGUAGCAAUUCUCUUGCAGAGUUCCGCAAUGUACGGGAAAACAUUUAAAGAAACCAACAGAAUUAAAUAUGAUCCAAUAAGUAUACUUUACCUCUAAAUGUGACAUUAAUUUUCUUGUAAAUGUGUAAUUGUUCUUUUCAUCCCACUAGCAUAUAUUUUUCUUUUCUUUCUUUAUAUUAAAAUUGUUCCUACACUGGAUUGAUUUUUUUUUGAAACUCUGUACUUAACAUAAAAUAAGCAUAUUUGGUCUAAACAGUAAAAUAAAAUAAAUAAAUUACCAAUUGCAUGAUUAAAACUCCUAUCAUAAAAAUAAAUAAUAAAGAGGGUUACAUUUCAUUCGAUUUGAAAUCAGAUCAAAUUUGAGGUACGUUGAAAAAGUUGUAUCCGUACCAAAAUUGCACAUAUUUUAAAGUAAAAGGCGCACUAAAAUCAAAUUACUUCCAAAUGACUUCAAACUUGUUUGCCAUGUAUGUUUUUAUGGGAGAUCUGAAAGAAGAAGCAGUUGAAUGGAGACAGUUUAUGACGCACAAUGUUGUGGAUUCAGCGAUCAAACUCCCUGCAGCCUUGGUCAGUCCUCUGAACUUUACCACUAUGUGUAAACAAGUUGUCAGAGAAUAAUUUUCUCUUUCCCUCCAUUUUUUUCUCUUUUUAUUGGAAUGAAAAUUCAAUCUUCCAAGAUCAGAUUAGACGACUUUUUUUUUUUCUACUUCUCCUCUCCUCUCUCCCGGUUCCUUGUCAUCGCUGAGGCUGGACUUUGGUGGACCAUAAUGCGGCAAUUGUCGACGCUUUGUGACCCAUAAAAUUUGAGGGUGGCUAUUCUGGCUUUGCGAGGGGAGGCACCGUGCAAGCGAAAGCCCCUGCAACUCUGAGCAGAUCGGCGGAAAAAAGCAGCUACAAUCAAAAAGAAAAGUGCACCUAUAAGAACAGGUGCCAUUAUGCAGGUAAUUUUGUUAUGAUGUAUGAUGGAGCGUAUUUAAAUCUAACCGCUGUUUGCCCAGAUCAUGCAUUAAGACAUAUUUGCAGAACAAUUUUAGAUGUUGUCCCUUCAAUAAACAAAAUUUUGUGUAAGGCUUCGAAGUUUUGUAAUGUAAUAGGAAUUUUUAUUUGGCUUGCUUUUUUGUUUUUUUUAAGGUAAUAGAAAGGUUGUUUCUUCAAAUUGACCUCACUCGGAUUUUCGUAUAAUCAGACAAUUUGUAAAUGUAUGAACACGUAUUUCACUGAAACGUUGUUUUAUUCCGUAAACAUGCAAACUAUCAAAUAAAAACAAUAGAUAAAUCUCUAAAUGUGUCCCAUUUGCUGUUGUUUAAUACAAUUUUUCUUGAUGAUUAAUAAAAUGCAAUACAUAUCUUGCUCUUGAUGUGUGCAAUACAUUGGAUUUUUUUUUUUUACCUUUCUGUGUGUGUGUGUGUGGGUGCGUGUGUGUGUGUGUAUGCACAUAAUAAACACUUGUGCUGCCUGACAGAGGUGCGAAUCUGAGAGCUUUUCCACCAAAUGAAGUGCCAGCAGAAAGAGAAAUAAAGAGAUCUGCAGCUGUCAGGGGUCAGGCAGGGAGAGAUUGCUUCUAGAGAUCUUUUGAAAAAAAUCACACGUUUGAAGGCUUAGAGCUUUGCUGUCUCCGCAUUUCAAGCUCAGAUCAGUGGAAUCAGGGGAGGAAAAAAAAAAAGGAAGAACAUGGGUUGGGGAAUUCUGAUGUUGGGAUGGACACGGGAAGAGUGCUGUUUGGAGGUCUGUUUUAUGUACCUGAUCCUUUAGUGAGGGGAAGAAAGACAAGCCGAGUGUUUUGUUCGGUGUGUUGGAACAACAGUGUCUCUAAUGUCCGUGUGUGUAAAAAAGAAAUGUGUGUGCAGAAAUCUGCUCUGCUGCCGCCUCAAAUUUGAAGCGAGUCCCGACAAAAGAUCGACAACCUUAAGUGUUUCGCAAUUUCUGUUUAUUGAAUAAUAAUAAUAAUAAUAAUAAUAAUAAUAAUAAUAAUAAUAAUAAUAAUAAUAAUAAUAAUAAUAAUAAUAAUAAUAAUAAUAAUAAAAAUA